AGAAACAUCAGUAGAGAACACAACAUGGAAUUGUCGAUUGUUAAGCAAUAAAGAGACCUCCCUCACCGGCAGCUAGUUUUUAGUUAACCACUCGGCAAAGUCAAAUCCUUGAAAACCCCUUAUGAUGUCUGUUCAAAGGGGACCAUGUUCCUCAAAGGUGAAGUGUCAUCCCUAAAACAUUCUAAAAUAGUGAAAUGAAAAAUACAUAGAACAUUAUUCACUUCAAUGUCGACACAAAAAAAUAAUUAUGAGUGGAAAGCACGUCAUCCAUGCACAAAGUUGCGGAAGUCUAGUUCGACAUCCACGUGGUCGCCCUAUUGGCUGCAUUUACUAUCCGUGACGUCACCCCAGAUAUUCGGCAUUGAAAACACGCUGUGGCCCAUACGGAGGGAGACGCCCCUUCAGACACGGAAGCUCUUAUCAAAGAAGAGAACGUCUCACGAUCGAGUCAAGUGUCCAGGGCAAUAUUAUCCUAUCGUUUUGAGUCAUAUUUAGAUUAUAUGCAGAUCACUUCUAACUAACAACAGACUCCCCGACAGUAUAACAGUAUGUAACGUACUCAGCCUCGACCGAUCAGAAUGCUGCGGUCCGGGGGCGACAAGCCAAAACACGUCACUCGCGGCUGUGUGCAACAAUUGUUUAUCGCUCCCGCCAUUGGCGGUGUUGUUCAUUGCGGACGACGGCAGCGGCUAUGAACAACCCUGCCUGCAAUGGUUGCACUCAGCCGGGUGCGAUGACAACACCAUAAAACGGCCCAGCUCGGCACUGUGAUAAGCCACCUCAGUGCCGAAGAUGAGCCACUCCAGUCGAAACCGGCGAAGGCUGCCGCGUCGUGCCUAAGACAGGAGGAUCGGGGACAGUAGAGCGCGAUGACACAGCUGUGCCAGGGCAUUGACGACCUUGUCCUGGCCUGGAUGAAGAAAGAGAGAAGUAGGGUGAGGCUCAGCAACGUAGCAAGCAAGUAUGUUUGGCUAGCACAAGCUGGCUAAGUUGGUUUUCAGGCAAACCUAUUUACCGCAGGAGUUUCCUUUUUUUCCCGUUCAACAUGAAUUAGUGGUAGAAAAUGAACAAUUUAAGAAUGUUUUGUUUUUUUGUGAACUUUAAGCACUCCUGCUUCUCCAGCAGUCUUCAUCACUCAGUACAGAUGUUUUUGACCUAGAAUUGGCAACUCACUGCAUGUACUUGUAAAACCUCUAGUCGUGUGCUAGUUUUAGAUGAUGAUCUGUGAAUGUGAAAAUGAAUGUUCUCAAAAUAUUUUGGGACGCUCUGUGUAUAAGCCUUGUGUGCAUCAUCAGUAAACCCCUGUGAUUUCAAACGAUGGCGAUUUGUGCAUUGUUUUGUUAACAUGCUUGUAUCUUAUUAUUUACUCAUUGAUUCACUUGCAAAGUCAUUAAAGAUUGAA